rnacentral:rRNA from 1 species
GGGUUGUGAGGUUAAGCGACUAAGCGUACACGGUGGAUGCCCUGGCAGUCAGAGGCGAUGAAGGACGUGCUAAUCUGCGAUAAGCGUCGGUAAGGUGAUAUGAACCGUUAUAACCGGCGAUUUCCGAAUGGGGAAACCCAGUGUGAUUUGUCACACUAUCAUUAACUGAAUCCAUAGGUUAAUGAGGCGAACCGGGGGAACUGAAACAUCUAAGUACCCCGAGGAAAAGAAAUCAACCGAGAUUCCCCCAGUAGCGGCGAGCGAACGGGGAGGAGCCCAGAGCCUGAAUCAGUGUGUGUGUUAGUGGAAGCGUCUGGAAAGGCGCGCGAUACAGGGUGACAGCCCCGUACACAAAAAUGCACAUGCUGUGAGCUCGAUGAGUAGGGCGGGACACGUGGUAUCCUGUCUGAAUAUGGGGGGACCAUCCUCCAAGGCUAAAUACUCCUGACUGACCGAUAGUGAACCAGUACCGUGAGGGAAAGGCGAAAAGAACCCCGGCGAGGGGAGUGAAAAAGAACCUGAAACCGUGUACGUACAAGCAGUGGGAGCACGCUU